rnacentral:rRNA from 1 species
CAGCAGCCGCGGUAAUACCGGCGGCCCGAGUGGCGGCCACUAUUAUUGGGCUUAAAGCGUCCGUAGCCGGGUUGGUUAGUCUCCCGGGAAAUCUGGCCGCUUAACGGUCAGAAUUCCGGGAGAUACUGCCAGCCUAGGGACCGGGAGAGGCCGAGGGUAUUCCCGGAGUAGGGGUGAAAUCCUAUAAUCCCGGGAGGACCACCUGUGGCGAAGGCGCUCGGCUGGAACGGGUCCGACGGUGAGGGACGAAGGCCAGGGGAGCAAACCAGAUUAGAUACCCGGGUAGUCCUGGCUGUAAACGAUGCGGACUUUGUGUCGGACAAGCUAUGAGCUUGUCCGGUGCCGGAGGGAAACCGUUAAGUCCGCCGCCUGGGGAGUACGGCCGCAAGGCUGAAACUUAAAGGAAUUGGCGGG